CAGCCGUAAACAAUGUGGGUUAGGUAUGUCGGUAACCACGUGUUACUGAUGUGCCGAAGAGAAAUCGUGAAACGCACCACCUGGGAAGUACGGUCGCAAGGCUGAAACUUAAAGGGAAUUGGCGGGGGAGCACCACAACAGGUGGAGCCUGCGGUUUAAUUGGAUUCAACGCCGGACAUCUCACCGGAUAAGACAGCUGAAUGAUUGUCAAUCUGAAGGUUUUACAUGACUAGCUGAGAGGUGGUGCAUGGCGUAGACGUCU
rnacentral:rRNA from 1 species